GACGAACGCUGGCGGCGUGCUUAACACAUGCAAGUCGAACGGAAAGGCCCUGCUCUUGCGGGGUGCUCGAGUGGCGAACGGGUGAGUAACACGUGAGUAACCUGCCCUUGACUUUGGGAUAACUUCAGGAAACUGGGGCUAAUACCGGAUAGGAGCUCCUGCUGCAUGGUGGGGGUUGGAAAGUUUCGGCGGUUGGGGAUGGACUCGCGGCUUAUCAGCUUGUUGGUGGGGUAGUGGCUUACCAAGGCUUUGACGGGUAGCCGGCCUGAGAGGGUGACCGGCCACAUUGGGACUGAGAUACGGCCCAGACUCCUACGGGAGGCAGCAGUGGGGAAUAUUGCACAGUGGGCGGAAGCCUGAUGCAGCAGCGCCGCGUGCGGGAUGACGGCCUUCGGGUUGUAAACCGCUUUCGCCUGUGACGAAGCGUGAGUGACGGUAAUGGGUAAAGAAGCACCGGCUAACUACGUG
rnacentral:rRNA from 1 species